rnacentral:lncRNA from 1 species
AAGAGAAGAAGCUCAAAAGUAAGCCACCUACAUCAAUCCCCUGACACUCAAAAGCCUUUACCUGGUACGAGACUACGCAUCCUGCAAAGGGCAAGCCAAGUGUCACCUCCCAGGUGAAUCCUUCCUCCGUGGACAUCUGCCAGCAUCCAUUCCCCUGGUUCAGGACACAUCUAUUCCCCACUCGAAGUACAUAGGGUUCAAGGGAGGCCACAGGAGAGGUCAUGUGACCUAAGCCCGGACAAGGAGAAUGGCAUCACCCUGGACAUAAGGACUAGCUCAAAGAUGGACAUGUGGCACCGGCUGAACCAGAAUACCUUUUCUCCAGGGCUCCUCCACACUCAGAAAGAGUCACAAGUCCUUAUGAGCCAGCUCCUGCACACCACUGGUACCAGGCCUUGUGAUGAAGUCUGAGGAUACAUGAAUAAAAUAUAGCCUCUGCCCACAAGAAACUCUCAGUCCCACAAUAGAGAGAGACACUAAAGAAAUUAUAGCAAACUGAAAAGUGCUAAGAGGAAGUCUCUACAAAACACCGAGAACACAAACAAGCCUGAGGGGAGAGUCAGGGGAGAAACUCAGAAAAUAUUUUGCAAAAGAUGCAACAUUUGAGCUGAGUUCCAAAGUAUUCUUAGAAAUGGAGAGAAAAGAGAGUGCAGGCAGAAAGAUAGACAUAUU